CACUUCCGGCUGCCAUUUUUAGGUUAACGUCUGAAGUUAGAGCUGAAAUAUCUGUUAAUGUGCAGGUAUUAUAUAUUAAGUUUUAUGCUGGACAGAAGACUGCGGAGUUUUGAAAUGUCUUUAAAAGAGCGACCUGCAGCAGCAGUAAAGGCCAGACGUGAGAGCUCACUGUAUUGACGAAUGUGACUGUUCCUCUUCUGAGAAAUGCGAAGACCCUGAUGCCAACAGCAAGUACAGUGACCCUGAGAGGUGGGAAUGAGUGGGAGAUUAAGAUUAAUACCUAUGAAAUGACAAGGCAACCCUUGGUGUUCGAUUCAGAAGCGUCAGUGAUGCCACAUCUCCACAAUUUGGUGGGAUGAAAGAGGACUACAUGAACAGAAAACCUUCUACUACUGAAAACGGAGACACUGAAAUGUUCUGGUUUUUUUUCUGGACUUUCCAUCAUAUGUCAUUAUCAGCCUGUUUACAGUGAGCCUUUAGUUUAUAUAAUGUGACAAAAGUUUUCAUUAAAAUAACAAGCAAGCCCUAA